rnacentral:rRNA from 1 species
AUACAGAGGGUGCAAGCGUUAAUCGGAUUUACUGGGCGUAAAGCGCGCGUAGGUGGCUAAUUAAGUCAAAUGUGAAAUCCCCGAGCUUAACUUGGGAAUUGCAUUCGAUACUGGUUAGCUAGAGUAUGGGAGAGGAUGGUAGAAUUCCAGGUGUAGAGGUGAAAUGCGUAGAGAUCUGGAGGAAUACCGAUGGCGAAGGCAGCCAUCUGGCCUAAUACUGACACUGAGGUGCGAAAGCAUGGGGAGCAAACAGGAUUAGAUACCCUGGUAGUCCAUGCCGUAAACGAUGUCUACUAGCCGUUGGGGCCCUUGAGGCUUUAGUGGCGCAGCUAACGCGAUAAGUAGACCGCCUGGGGAGUACGGCCGCAAGGUUAAAACUUAAAGGAAUUGACGGGG